ACAUCCUUUAAUAAAGUUACCAGAAAAUAGACACAAGUUAGGAUUACCAUCUGAUGAUGAUAACUUAGUUAAAUCCAUUGAUAAGUUAUUCAAAAAACUUAAAAAUGAACCUGGUACAAGUGGUACUAUUGCCGCGAUUGAUCAAGUUAAAACUGAUGUUGAAAGCAGUUAUCAAUCAGAUAAUUCUGAUACUGAUUCAAUACCAGAUUUAAAUGAUCAGCUAAACAAAUUAACAGUUAAAAACACCAGUAUAACUAGGAAUUGGUAUUCUAGACCUACUCCUCCGGACUUACAGUUCGAAGAGAGAAACCUAGAUAAACAGUUCUCAGUUUCAUC
rnacentral:lncRNA from 1 species